rnacentral:sRNA from 1 species
GAUGUGUCCCGGGAAGACCGAGCCAGGAGGCCGGGGCGGGUAGGAAGAGACGUGCUGGGGCUUUUGGGUUAGGGACUGGGGAUCCAUCGGUGAACAGAUGAAACUCCCUGCCCUCGUGGAGCUUCCAAGCUAGUGCGGGGAGUCGGGCAAUAAGCCUCAGGUUGCUAUCGGCUGGUGGACUAUUUGGAAGGGAUCCGGAAGAAUUUUGAUGAGGCUGCCAAGGUGUUGAAGUUUAACUGUGAAGAGAACCAGCACAGUGAUAGCUGCUACAAACUGGGGGCCUACUAUGUGACUGGAAAAGGUGGUCUCACCCAGGACCUGAAAGCUGCCGCCAGGUGCUUUUUGAUGGCGUGUGAGAAGCCUGGAAAGAAGUCAAUAGCAGCAUGUCACAACGUUGGCCUCCUGGCACAUGAUGGACAGGUUAAUGAGGAUGGCCAGCCUGACCUGGGAAAGGCCAGGGACUACUACACAAGGGCCUGUGAUGGUGGCUAUACUUCCAGUUGCUUCAACCUCAGUGCCAUGUUCCUGCAGGGUGCCCCAGGCUUUCCCAAGGACAUGGACCUGGCAUGUAAAUACUCCAUGAAAGCCUGUGACCUGGGUCAUAUCUGGGCCUGUGCCAAUGCCAGUCGCAUGUACAAGCUGGGGGAUGGUGUUGAUAAGGAUGAGGCCAAGGCCGAGGUGCUAAAAAAUCGAGCCCAGCAGCUACACAAAGAACAGCAGAAAGGUGUCCAACCCUUAACAUUUGGGUAAUGUGGUCCACCCUCCCUCCCAGGCAACAAACUGCUUGAGGCUGGCAGCUCCUGUUUCUGAAGACUGAUGCAGCCCUUGAAGGUCAACCUGCUGGAGCAAAAAAACUUGGGACUUGAAUUUGUAGCUCCAUUUACAUGGAUCCAUUGCCCCAGCUACUG